rnacentral:misc_RNA from 2 species
CUGCCCUCAAGCACGGCUUGUGUGUUGGGCCCCGUCCUCCGAUCCCGGGGGACGGGCCCGAAAGGCAGCGGCGGCACCGCGUCCGGUCCUCGAGCGUAUGGGGCUUUGUCACCCGCUCUGUAGGCCCGGCCGGCGCUUGCCGAUCAACCCAAAUUUUUAUCCA